rnacentral:lncRNA from 1 species
GUAAUUUGCUAUGAGCGAGAGAUCAUUAAUACACAACCUGAGAUGGUGUUUCUGUAUCUAAAUGUAGAUAUACAGCUGCGUGUGCAAAAUCCAUGUACAACGAGGACGCAGCUCCCCUAUGGCCAGUGAAAAAGAUGUCGGUUAUCCUAUGUUGUGACAUGGAAAGCUGCCCAAAUUACCUUGUUAAGGGGAGAAAAAUGCGAGGGGCAGAAGAGUUUCUAUAGCUGUGUGUCGCAUAAUGAUGUUUUGGUCAACAGUAGACUGAAUACACAACAGUGGUCCCUUAAGAUUAGGACCAGACAGGGGCCGGCCGGGUGGCGCAGCGGUUAAGUGCGCACGUUCCGCUUUGGUGGCCGGGGUUCACUGGUUGGGAUUCCGGGUGUGGACAUGGCACCGCUUGGGAAGCCAUGCUGUGGUGGGCGUCCACAUAUAAAGUAGAGGAAGAUGGGCACGGAUGUUAGCUCAGGGCCAGUCUUCCUCAGCAAAAAGAGGAGGAUUGGCAGCAGAUGUUAGCUCAGGGCUGAUCUUCCUCAAAAAAAAAAUAAAAAAGAUUAGGACCAGACAACCCAGGUGCGUAGUAGGCUAUCCCACCCAGGUUUGGGUAAGUACACUCUCUGAUGUCCCCACAACAAGGAAAGCACCUAACGAUGCCAUCACCCAGCAACGCAUCGAUCAAAUGCAUGCCCAUGGUUAAGCGCUGCACGACUGUCAUAGUUUUCAGUGGGUCCUAUUUUUCUAAGAAACAAAAUCUUAUCUGUGUUUCGGCCUAGGAAAGAGUGGCAAGGCGCUCCUUUCAUUCCUUUCGGGGUUGUGUGGUUUUCUUCUCAGAAUGCUUCGUUCUUGAAAUUUUUAAAAAGUAAAGAAAAAAUAACGAAGUUCUCGAAUACACACGGACAGAGGGGGAAACUGACUUGGCAUUUCUGGUAAAGGGGUGCAGGGAAGAAAGCCGGCCCCCUCAUUCAUUUCUGCUUUGAUGGUUCAACCAGCACUUUCUCGGAGCUUCUCCAAGAGGCAGUGUCGUGAGGUGGUUAGACGCGCAGACCUGGGGAAGUGACUUUGCAGGCCAUGACACUAGAACUGAGCCACUGAAUUAAUCCUUCUGGGCCUCAGCUCCCUCAUCUGGAAGAUGGAGGGGAAGGGUGGGUCCUAUUCCCAGGAGACUGUUGUUGAGGAUUAAAGAACAGAAAAGGAGCAGGUGACGUGUUCGUUCGAUGGAAUACAACUCUGCGACAGAAAGGGACAGAUGGCUGAUAAAAGCCACAGAGGAAUCGCUGAAACACUGUGUCUGUGUGUCUGUCUGGCUUCUGUUGCUCAAGAGUCCGAACUCUGAUUGCGUUUAUGUGAAGUUCUAGUUCAGCAAAACUAAUCCAAAAGGAUCGAAGUCAGGUUAGUGGCUGCCUCUGGUGUGUGACGCUGGCGAAUGAACUAGAAAAAAGCGCAAGGGAACUUUCUGGAAGGCUAGAAAUAUUCUAUAUCUUAACGGGAGGCGGUUACACAGAGAGACAUUUAAUAAAACUCACUAAACUGUUGUUCCCUUAAAUAUCUGUCCAUUUUAUAAUAUGUCAAUUAGACCUCAAUUUAAGAGGGACGUUCUAAUCCAGUGGUCCUGCCAGAGGUCAGGAAACCAGUCAGGUGAGACUAUGAGAGAUAUGAGGGGGGCCAAAAAGGAGGAUAGAGCUGAUAAAGAUGGAGGAAUACAGAGUGUUUAGGAAAAUCGACAGAACUUGGUAACCGAGUUACGGGGAGGCCGUGCUCCGGGGGCCACAGUGGGGAGCCGAGUGACGAGGAGGACGAGGACACAGAGAGGGGCAAGACGGAAGCGAACGGGUCGGGCUUUGGAAUGUGCUGUGUUCACACAUCCUGAUACCUGCAUUGCUCAACUACCGAUCCCAACAGAUAUCUCCCCCCCGGGGGCCUUAGCAUACACCCCACGCCCCACUGACUCACAGCUGAAUCAUAAUUGUGCCAAACGGGGGAAAUGAGUCACUUCUCUUUGCUGCUGGCACACGGGGUGCGCAAAAAGCGAGUGAAAUUGGAGGCCUCUCAGAAAAAAAUCAGAAGGAAGUUCAGGCCGGGGGAAUCUUGGAGGAGGGGCUUCUGUCAUCCCUGUCACCUCCCGCCUCGCCACCACCAGGUGAUCUCAAAUCUAUUGGUCUCAUCUCUCAGCCUUUGCAAAGGAUCCAUCUUAAAAGCAAAAUGUGCCACCGGAAAUAUUGAUAACAUCUUAAAGACCUUUGAAGAGGGGUAAAGAUAAAGAACAAUGACUCUUUCCUGGACACCAAGCCUUCCCCUGGCAACAGUUCGCCAAAUAUUUGCCAGCCACGGGUGACUGAGGACCUCACCAACAGGAAGAGGCUGCCACUACCUAUUUUCAUCAGAACAGGCCUGCCCACAGCUGCCAACGGCUCCAGACAAUGUUUACACUGGUCGCCUGGGAAAAUCAAAACUGCAGAGAGAAUCGUUUCCUUGAAAACAGAAGUUUACCAGACGCGGCUGGAAAUGGUGCUGAGGACGCCGCAGAAACAAAGAUCCCACCCCUGCUGGAGGCGACGUUGUCGUGGGGGAGACAGACAGGGAACAAAUCAACCAGAUGGUUUCCAGGCAUCAAAUUCGUGAGACCCUGCAAAGGUGCGGCUCAUGUGGGAGAUGCCGAUUUUUAUGAUUUUUUAUUGAGAUUCAGCACACAGACCAUGAAGCACAGACACUUAGGUGUUCGCCUCAGGAGACUUGUUUCAUGUUGUCACCUCUGUGUAGCCACCACCUGGAGCAAGAUAAAGAAUGUCAACAGUGUCCCAGACGCCACUGGGCUGACCUUAGAGUGUGGAAAGGAAGGGGCUUCCCUGGGGAUGCGGACAUUUCAGAGAGUUUUAUCCUGUUUCCAGCUCUAAUGAGCCCAGUUAAAGCCACUUUCCCAGAUGCCCUUGCAGCCGCCAGCAUCCCUGAGACCCAGUUCUGCUGCACGGAGCAGGCGGGCAUUUCUGCACCCGUAGGACGACCUUCCCUGCGCCUGUGCAGCCUCGGGCAGGUUCUCCGACUCCCCUGGGCCUGACUUCCUCCUCGGUCAAGUGGCCAUGAAGGACGGCUCGCUGCUUAGGACGAGCAUCCAGAUCAACUGAGUCAAGGGCGUUCGCUGGUGUUAUUGUUAUUACUGUGCGGGGCUGCCAGC